rnacentral:rRNA from 1 species
UACGUAGGGUGCAAGCGUUUGUCCGGAAUUAUUGGGCGUAAAGAGCUCGUAGGCGGUCUGUCGCGUCUGCUGUGAAAACUCGGGGGCUUAACCCCGGCCUGCAGUGGGUACGGGCAGACUAGAGUGCGGUAGGGGAGACUGGAAUUCCUGGUGUAGCGGUGAAAUGCGCAGAUAUCAGGAGGAACACCGGUGGCGAAGGCGGGUCUCUGGGCCGAUACUGACGCUGAGGAGCGAAAGCGUGGGGGAGCGAACAGG